CUGUGUCAUAUGUCGCUACAAGCCACACUGCUGCCAGGCGUUUGCCUUAAGCAUUCUGAUGCACUCACAGAGAGCACUUCCUGGUGUGCUUCUGCUGGCUCGUACCUGUCUGCAUCCCAGGUGGGCCUGGGCUCCAGGUGUAGCUUAGGGAAUGUCUCCAGUGUGUUUGUGUGGAAUUAGCUGGGCAUCUCAGUUUGUCAACCCCCUCAGCCAACUUUUCCCCUGGAAGAGAGGCCACAGAAGCCUUGCUGAGUGUGUACUGCCCUCACUGCUUCUUCUCCAUCUGCGGUGCCUCCUGGACCAGAAAUGAUUGGGUGGUGUGGCCGUGCUCUCCAGAAGCAGAGCCCUCCUUUGCACCUCUAAUUGGAUUUGCAAGUCUCCCACAGCCUCACAGACGCACUUUAGGAUGGCGCUGGUGACUGCCAAGAACAGACUGCUGAAAGGAGAGAGCUGCAGAUGCCGCCUUUGUGUACCACAACCAAUGUGGUGAUUAGCCGUCCCUGUGAGGGACAGCUCCUUGCUGCCUCCCAGCAGCCCAGACAUCCUAAGAGAAGUCUUAAAAGGAAGCCACAAGGCACAUGUCCAUCGCCUGUCCAGACACACUGUCCUACAGAAACAAGGUGUUUUUAUGAGAAGACAGCAGUGUAACAGUGACGGAGAGGGUGCAACCUGUUUCUCCAGAG
rnacentral:lncRNA from 1 species